UACGUAGGGAGCAAGCGUUGUCCGGAAUCAUUGGGCGUAAAGCGCGCGUAGGCGGCCCUGUAAGUCCGUUGUGAAAGUCAAAGGCUCAACCUUUGAAAGCCGAUGGAUACUGCAGGGCUAGAGUCCGGAAGAGGAGUGUGGAAUUCCUGGUGUAGCGGUGAAAUGCGCAGAUAUCAGGAGGAACACCAAUGGCGAAGGCAGCACUCUGGGACGUGACUGACGCUGAGACGCGAAAGCGUGGGGAGCAAACAGG
rnacentral:rRNA from 1 species